AAACUGCGAUAAGUGAUGUGAAUUGCAGGAUUCCGUGAAUCAUCAAAUCUUUGAACGCAAGUUGCACCUCUCGGUUCUCCGGGAGGUACACUCGUUUGAGCGUCACCCCAUCACCUCAAAAUCCCUCCCAGGAUUUUGGAUACGGGGGUUGUCAACAUGCCAAAUGGCAUUUUGUCCCCUGAGUUGGAUGGAGGGCAAUGAUGUGGACUCUGAGACAAGAACUACAGUUUUGGGCGGGUCGCCAGACUCUCCUCCCUCAAUUGUGGUGUUUCAUGAGUUCAUGCCAUGUUUUCCAUGGGAACACCCAGCAUUGGUUCUGGGUUGCUAUAUCACCUCAGUGACCUCAAAUCGAGUGAAGCUACCCGCCGAAUUUAA
rnacentral:misc_RNA from 1 species